rnacentral:rRNA from 1 species
AUUGAACGCUGGCGGCAUGCUUUACACAUGCAAGUCGAACGGCAGCACGGGGGCAACCCUGGUGGCGAGUGGCGAACGGGUGAGUAAUACAUAGGAACGUAUCCUGAAAUGGGGGAUAGCUCGGCGAAAGCCGGAUUAAUACCGCAUACGAUCCACGGAUGAAAGCAGGGGAUUCGCAAGAACCUUGCGUUUCUGGAGCGGCCUAUGUCUGAUUAGCUAGUUGGCGGGGUAAAAGCCCACCAAGGCGACGAUCAGUAGCUGGUCUGAGAGGAUGAUCAGCCACACUGGGACUGAGACACGGCCCAGACUCCUACGGGAGGCAGCAGUGGGGAAUUUUGGACAAUGGGGCAACCCUGAUCCAGCCAUGCCGCGUGAGUGAAGAA